GAACCCAACGUUGACCCUGUUGACCUCAAGGAUGAUGAAGAACCCAACUUUGGACCCAACGAUGAUGAAGAACCCAACUUUGAACCCAACGAUGAUGAAGAACCCAACGUUGGACCCAACGAUGGUGAAGAACCCAA